rnacentral:rRNA from 1 species
GACGAACGCUGGCGGCGUGCUUAACACAUGCAAGUCGAACGGAAAGGCCCUGCUUUUGUGGGGUGCUCGAGUGGCGAACGGGUGAGUAACACGUGAGUAACCUGCCCUUGACUUUGGGAUAACUUCAGGAAACUGGGGCUAAUACCGGAUAGGAGCUCCUGCUGCAUGGUGGGGGUUGGAAAGUUUCGGCGGUUGGGGAUGGACUCGCGGCUUAUCAGCUUGUUGGUGGGGUAGUGGCUUACCAAGGCUGUGACGGGUAGCCGGCCUGAGAGGGUGACCGGCCACAUUGGGACUGAGAUACGGACCAGACUCCUACGGGAGGCAGCGGUGGGGAAUAUUGCACAGUGGGCGGAAGCCUGAGGCAGCAACGCCGCGUGCGGGAUGACGGCCUUCGGGUUGUAAACCGCUUUCGCCUGUGACGAAGCGUGAGUGACGGUAAUGAGUAAAGAAGCACCGGCUAACUACGUG